CAAAAGGAAAAGGACGAGAGAAAAUUAU
rnacentral:piRNA from 1 species